rnacentral:rRNA from 1 species
AAUCUGCCUCUAGGACGGGGACAACAGAGGGAAACUUCUGCUAAUCCCGGAUGAGCCGUAAGGUAAAAGAUUUAUCGCCUAGAGAUGAGCUCGCGUCUGAUUAGCUAGUUGGUAAGGUAAAAGCUUACCAAGGCGACGAUCAGUAGCUGGUCUGAGAGGAUGAUCAGCCACACUGGGACUGAGACACGGCCCAGACUCCUACGGGAGGCAGCAGUGGGGAAUUUUCCGCAAUGGGCGAAAGCCUGACGGAGCAAGACCGCGUGGGGGAGGAAAGCCUUUGGGUUGUAAACCCCUUUUCUCAGGGAAGAAGAAAGUGACGGUACCUGAGGAAUCAGCCUCGGCUAACUCCGUGCCAGCAGCCGCGGUAAUACGGAGGAGGCAAGCGUUAUCCGGAAUGAUUGGGCGUAAAGCGUUCGUAGGUGGCCCUUCAAGUCUGCUGUCAAAGACGGGAGCUCAACUCCUGAAAGGCAGUGGAAACUGAAGAGCUGGAGUGCGGUAGGGGCAGAGGGAAUUCCCGGUGUAGCGGUGAAAUGCGUAGAGAUCGGGAAGAACACCGGUGGCGAAAGCGCUCUGCUGGGCCGCAACUGACACUGAGGGACGAAAGCUAGGGGAGCG